AGCAUGUGGUUUAAUUCGAAGCAACGCGAAGAACCUUACCAGGCCUUGACAUGCAGAGAACUUUCCAGAGAUGGAUUGGUGCCUUCGGGAACUCUGACACAGGUGCUGCGUGGCUGUCGUCAGCUCGUGUCGUGAGAUGUUGGGUUAAGUCCCGUAACGAGCGCAACCCUUGUCCUUAGUUACCAGCACGUUAUGGUGGGCACUCUAAGGAGACUGCCGGUGACAAACCGGAGGAAGGUGGGGAUGACGUCAAGUCAUCAUGGCCCUUACGGCCUGGGCUACACACGUGCUACAAUGGUCGGUACAAAGGGUUGCCAAGCCGCGAGGUGGAGCUAAUCCCAUAAAACCGAUCGUAGUCCGGAUCGCAGUCUGCAACUCGACUGCGUGAAGUCGGAAUCGCUAGUAAUCGUGAAUCAGAAUGUCACGGUGAAUACGUUCCCGGGCCUU
rnacentral:rRNA from 1 species